CUCGCCGUCGACAUGGCUGAUUCUCCCGCCAGCUCGGCACUUUUUCAGUGUCGUCAUGGUCUUCUUGAUGUCAAAAAAAAGUAAAACUUUAAUUAAAUUAAAUUAAAUUAAAUUAAAUUAAAUUAAAAUAAAUGAAACUCAAAUGCCACCGGUACAACCAGUCCCACAACUUAAAGGGAUGAGCAUCAUCUCCACUGCUAUAGUCCAGCACCGGGGAAGCAAGGACCGUUUCUCUGAGCAGCAGUGCGCCUUCUCAACCUGAUCUGGUCUGAUCUCUCCCUCCUUCCCUCUCCCCACUUCCCUGGUUUGUAGGGUGCACUUUGUUCACAGGAGUAUCCGCGCAAAAAAGAGUAAAUAAAUAAAUAAAUAAAUAAUAGGAAAGCCGCUGUUGCUAGCGGGAAGAGAAGCAAAGCGGUCUCCUGGAUUCCUAUUGGCCGGCGUGCGACCACGUGAGGAGGAAUCACCAGAGUGGCUCCAACAAAUCAAGGAAAUGUUCUAAUAUUAGAAAAUGUAUCUAGGCAGUGAUCAAGCAUCUGACCUCGUAACUCCACCUUCUUUACACUUGGAUUACCAGCAUCCAGGGAACACGCUAAUUCUACAUUUGCGUGACAAAAGCAAUAAAUGUGACCAGAUUUUAAAAAUUGUCAAGUAUACCUUUAUUCUUUUUUCCCCCAAAAAAUUGUGAAACACCAACUGCCAGUCAAUCUUCAUUACUUCUGUCCCAUUUUGGAUACUUUCAGGCCGACAGUUUCUUCAUUCAUUAAAAUCACAUAACUUUCACCGCCCCGCGCAGCCAUGUUCCAGCACCGCGGAGAGCUGGGAGACACGAAUGUGGGAUAUACAAGCGUGGGGACAGGACUAGAGCGGAAACAGACGAACAAAGUCGGUAAAAGUCGGAAUCCGCGGCACGGGGGCGCAACGCGUGGACGGUGCUUCCUCCACCAGCAAACUAGCAACACGCAAUAGCCUCAGGCUGAUGGAGUUGUGAUGGUGAUUACCCUGUACCCUUUUUUCUUCUUUUGGAGAAGUCAUACAGAGGAAGAGAUGAAAAUGUAUUUGAAUAAUCUGGUAGAACAAUGAAAGAUGAAAUUACAAA